GAAAGCCGUGUAAGGGAAAACCUUACGCACGGUUUGACGAGGGGUUUCUGAGGAGAUGGCUCAAAUCAGCGACCUACUCUAC
rnacentral:ncRNA from 2 species